UACGGAGGGAGCUAGCGUUGUUCGGAAUCACUGGGCGUAAAGGGAGCGUAGGCGGUUUGUCGCGUCUGCUGUGAAAACCUAAGGCUCAACCUUGGGAUUGCAGUGGGUACGGGCAGACUAGAGUGCGGUAGGGGUGACUGGAAUUCCUGGUGUAGCGGUGGAAUGCGCAGAUAUCAGGAGGAACACCGAUGGCGAAGGCAGGUCACUGGGCCGCAACUGACGCUGAGGAGCGAAAGCAUGGGGAGCGAACAGG
rnacentral:rRNA from 1 species